rnacentral:rRNA from 1 species
GACGAACGCUGGCGGCGUGCUUAACACAUGCAAGUCGAACGGAAAGGCCCUGCUUGCAGGGUACUCGAGUGGCGAACGGGUGAGUAACACGUGGGUGAUCUGCCCUGCACUUCGGGAUAAGCCUGGGAAACUGGGUCUAAUACCGGAUAGGAGCCAUUUUUAGUGUGAUGGUUGGAACGUUUUUUCGGUGUAGGAUGAGCUCGCGGCCUAUCAGCUUGUUGGUGGGGUAAUGGCCUACCAAGGCGGCGACGGGUAGCCGGCCUGAGAGGGUGGACGGCCACAUUGGGACUGAGAGACGGCCCAGACUCCUACGGGAGGCAGCAGGGGGGAAUAUUGCACAAUGGGCGCAAGCCUGAUGCAGCGACGCCGCGUGGGGGAUGACGGCCUUCGGGUUGUAAACUCCUUUCGCUAGGGACGAAGCUUUUUGUGACGGUACCUAGAUAAGAAGCACCGGCUAACUACGUG